AUCUAGUACAAUCCAUGCAUGCUUCCACAUAUUUUGGCAGGAGAAAGUAGGAGUCCACUGACAAUGGUUUGGGAUAUUACUAGCCAGUGUUCCUGAAUUUAUACAUUUUUUAUCUCUUUCUGCCUUUCACACUUUUUGCUACAGUAAUCUACACACAAGACUUGCUCAAUGCUUUCAUGAUUUUAACCACAAAGAGGAAGAGAAAAACAAGAAGGGCAUGACCUGCCAAGAUUUUGAGAAAAUAAAUGCUAUCAUCACAGGAUGGCCAGAUGACGGACCUAUACAAAUUCACUUUAUAGUAUCAAAUCCUUUUAUCAAAAUCAUCACCAUGAUUUGAAACUCAACAUUGCCUUGGGGAAAUAGCUUCAGGGACAUGCUUACAAUGAAUAUUCUUGAACAUUUUAUUCUAAUGUUUAAGGAAGAACAGUAACAGAGAAGGCAAAACAUCAGCAAGUCAUAACAUUUUGAGUUUUUCAUCUUCAAAUAAAUGAACCAAGGAGGACUAAAAGACAAGUGGUAAAUGAUGAUGCCAAGAGACUCUCCUAAGAAGUUUAUGAGACACAAAAUCUCUCAGCUUUACUUUGUUAAAUACACAAACACUGGAUUACUGUGAAGAAAAAAAUGUGCUACAAGAAAUUACAGUUAGCCUUACCAAAUGGCGAAAUAUUUACACAAAUCAUAUCCUCAUUUUGUGUGUGUUUUUUGUAAGAUGAUGAUUCUUUUGCCAAUAUUUUUUCUCAACAUUUAAG
ensembl:lincRNA